GGAUGUGAGGGUAAUCUGGCAAUGACAUCUGACACUCCAUUGAUGGCCAGCAUUAAUUUUGUUGAUCUGGCUGGCUAGGUGGAUAUUCCCUUACUCCCUUGACACUCCAUGGGAAUCAAUUUCAAAGCUGCACAGUCAGUCCAAGAAGAUGAUCUCUCUGGAAUACAGUCUUUAGCGAAACAUAUUCAAACAUAUUCAAGUAUCUGAACUUCAUGCUAGAACACCCCACCCAUAAAAACAAGUUCUCACAGUAAGGAUUUUGGACCUAAGAAUUUUUUAGGGAUACAAAUUCCU
rnacentral:snRNA from 1 species